UUUAAUCCUUGGUUCAGGACGAACGCUGGCGGGCGUGCCUAAUUCAUGCAAGUUGAACGAACGGAUUGAGGAGCUUGCUUUUCAGAAAGUUAGUGGCGGACGGGUGAGUAACACGUGGGUAACCUGCCCUUCAGCGGGGGAUAACAUCCGGAAACGGGUGCUAAUACCGCAUAGUUUCUUUUUCCGCCUGGAAGAAGAAGGAAAGAUGGCCUUUGUGCUAUCACUGAGGGAUGGACCCGCGGCGUAUUAGUUAGUUGGUGGGGUAAUGGCCUACCAAGACGAUGAUACGUAGCCGACCUGAGAGGGUGAUCGGCCACACUGGGACUGAGACACGGCCCAGACUCCUACGGGAGGCAGCAGUAGGGAAUCUUCCACAAUGGGUGCAAACCUGAUGGAGCAAUGCCGCGUGAAUGAAGAAGGUCUUCGGAUCGUAAAGUUCUGUUAUUAGUGAAGAACAAAUCGAGGAGUAACUGUCUCGAUUUUGACGGUAACUAACCAGAAAGUCACGGCUAACUACGUGCCAGCAGCCGCGGUAAUACGUAGGUGACAAGCGUUGUCCGGAAUUAUUGGGCGUAAAGGGAGCGCAGGCGGUUGGAAUAGUCUGAUGUGAAAGCCCACGGCUUAACCGUGGAAGGUCAUUGGAAACUGUCCAACUUGAAUGCAGAAGAGGUAAGUGGAAUUCCAUGUGUAGCGGUGAAAUGCGUAGAUAUAUGGAGGAACACCAGUGGCGAAGGCGACUUACUGGUCUGUGAUUGACGCUGAGGCUCGAAAGCGUGGGUAGCGAACAGGAUUAGAUACCCUGGUAGUCCACGCCGUAAACGAUGAGUGCUAAGUGUUGGAGGGUUUCCGCCCUUCAGUGCUGGAGUUAACGC
rnacentral:rRNA from 1 species